UACGGGGGGAGCAAGCGUUGUUCGGAUUUACUGGGCGUAAAGGGCGCGUAGGCGGUCGUGACAAGUCACUUGUGAAAUCUCCGGGCUUAACUCGGAACGGUCAAGUGAUACUGUCGGACUAGAGUACAGAAGGGGCAACUGGAAUUCUCGGUGUAGCGGUGAAAUGCGUAGAUAUCGAGAGGAACACCUGCGGCGAAGGCGGGUUGCUGGGCUGAUACUGACGCUGAGGCACGAAAGCUAGGGGAGCAAACAGG
rnacentral:rRNA from 1 species